AGGUUUCCGUAAGUGACCUGCGGAAGGAUCAUUAUCAUGUAAUUCAGUUCCCCUUGGCUGUGUUAUAUAUAUACCCACUCUGUGUACCUUCUCCUGUUGCUUCCGCUGGGUGUGUAAUUCGCCCGGCGGAAGGGUAAAAAUAACCUCUGAGUAUUGAUGAAAUCUCUGUCUGAACCGAAUAGAAAGAAAAAUGUUAAAACUUUCAGCAACGGAUCUCUUGGUUCUCGCAUCGAUGAAGAACGCAGCGAAAUGCGAUAAGUAGUGUGAAUUGCAGAAUUCAGUGAAUCAUCGAAUCUUUGAACGCACAUUGCGCCUUCUGGUAUUCCGGGAGGCAUGCCUGUUCGAGAGUCAUUAACAACCAUCUCGAAUCCCUUUCUUUUCCGUAUCCGGAGGGUGGGGGGGAAUCGGUGUUGGUGGUGGAGGGAAUGGAGUUUGUUGAGCUUGCCCACUAUAUGUUUGGCAAAUCUCUCCUCCCCACUGAAAUUUGGUGGUGGGAUACUUGGGUUUUGGUGGGAUUUGAGGGGAUAUGAUGACCUUGAUGAUCUUCUUCCCCUCGCUUUCUGAAAUUCGCACAUUGAGUUUCUUAACCCAGUCAGCUGUCCCCCAUAAUAACAUCAAUCAUAUCCAAAGGUUGACCUCGAAUCAGGUA
rnacentral:rRNA from 1 species